CUACGGGACGCACCAGUGAGGAAUAUUGCACAAUGGGGGGAACCCUGAUGCAGCAACGCCGCGUGGAGGAUGACGCAUUUCGGUGUGUAAACUCCUUUUAUAUGUCAAGAAAAUGACGGUAGCAUAUGAAUAAGCACCGGCUAACUCCGUGCCAGCAGCCACGGUAAUACGGAGGGUGCAAGCGUUACUCGGAAUCACUGGGCGUAAAGGACGCGUAGGCGGGUUGGAAAGUCAGGUGUGAAAUCCUACAGCUUAACUGUAGAACUGCACUUGAAACUUCUAAUCUAGAGUAUGGGAGGGGGAGAUGGAAUUAGUGGUGUAGGGGUAAAAUCCGUAGAUAUCACUAGGAAUACCUAAAGCGAAGGCGAUCUCCUGGAACAUUACUGACGCUAAGGCGUGAAAGCGUGGGGAGCAAACAGGAUUAGAUACCCUUGUAGUC
rnacentral:rRNA from 1 species